GGAGGCGUGUCCGAAUUGGCUAAGGAGCCGGUCUUGAAAACCGGUGGGAGCGAAGCUCCCUUGUGGGUUCGAGUCCCACCGCCUCCG
rnacentral:tRNA from 1 species